GACGAACGCUGGCGGCGUGCCUAACACAUGCAAGUGGAGCGACGAACCAGGCUUCGGCCUGGGGCAAGGCCGCGAACGGGUGAGUAACACGUGGGUAACCUGCCCUGAUGAUUGGGACAACCCGAGGAAACUCGGGCUAAUACCGAAUGUGCCCUCCGGCCUCAAGGCCGCUGGGGAAAGGAAGCUUCGGCCUCCGCAUCGGGAUGGGCCCGGGGCCCAUUAGCUUGUUGGUGAGGUAACGGCUCACCAAGGCGACGAUGGGUAGCUGGUCUGAGAGGACGAUCAGCCACACUGGGACUGAGACACGGCCCAGACUCCUACGGGAGGCAGCAGUGGGGAAUCUUGCGCAAUGCGCGAAAGCGUGACGCAGCAACGCCGCGUGGGGAAGAAGGCCUCGG
rnacentral:rRNA from 1 species